rnacentral:lncRNA from 1 species
CCUCCAUUUUCUCCCUCCCCACAUACUUCUUCCAUAUUUCCUCAUGUAUUAUGAUAUGGGAAGGUGGUGGAGCUGAAUCCCCCUCGUUACUGCUGGAACCCUGUGAACUGUUAGGUUCCUUCUUUAACACUGUUAUCACAGCCACUGCAGCUGGAGCUUCCUGGACUGCUGUCUUUUCCAGAAUGUCUCCAAGCCCUUUGGAUAAACCCUACAAAUCACACAUCUUCUUACACCCAAAUCCAAAAUUAUACAAAUACCACUGUACCACAUUUUUAUUUCUUUACUUAUAUGUCCACAUUUUGUUCUUUAAUGACCCAAUAUUAAAAGUAAAAAGAAAAGAAAAAA